rnacentral:rRNA from 1 species
GGGGAAUAUUGGACAAUGGGCGCAAGCCUGAUCCAGCAAUGCCGCGUGGGUGAAGAAGGCCUUCGGGUUGUAAAGCCCUUUUGUACGGGAAGAAAUCCCACUUGUUAAUACCGGGUGGGGAUGACGGUACCGUAAGAAUAAGCACCGGCUAACUUCGUGCCAGCAGCCGCGGUAAUACGAAGGGUGCAAGCGUUAAUCGGAAUUACUGGGCGUAAAGCGUGCGUAGGUGGUUUGUUAAAUCUGAUGUGAAAGCCCUGGGCUCAACCUGGGAAUGGCAUUGGAUACUGGCUUACUAGAGUGCGGUAGAGGGUAGCGGAAUUUCCGGUGUAGCGGUGAAAUGCGUAGAGAUCGGAAGGAACAUCCGUGGCGAAGGCGGCUACCUGGACCAGCACUGACACUGAGGCACGAAAGCGUGGGGAGCAAAC